GUCAGUGGGACAGUUUGAGCUCUUGUUGGCAGAGCUGGGACCACAUCUGAAGAGUCAGAGGAAUCAUUACAGAGAGCCGACUAACCCGGAGCAACGUCUAGCUACAGCCUGGCGGAGGGAAACUCCAGGGAAGCGGGAGAGUUGACGAGUCUUCUGUGUUGAUGAGAGACACGGCUGAGGAUGAGGGUGACGCUGAGAUUGGUGGAUAACUUGUGAAAUGAAGACAAACGAAAAAGCAAAGAAGGGGGGGAAAGGAGAUAAAUGAGAGUGCUAAAGGGGAAAGAGAAGACUGGGUGGGUGAGGGGGGUGGCGGGCUGGAUUUGCGAGACAAGUGCCGAGGCGUGAAUUGGGGCGUCCAGCAUUUCCCAUCUGACUCAGCCCUACGCCGAAAAACCAAAUUCAAAUGAGAAACACAAACAUUUGCAAUGCAGCAUUUUUCCAGACUUGUUGUUACCUGGUGUGGCCUCUGCGGCCUGCGCUUACAGUAAGUCCACACACAGUGUCCUCUGAAAGAAUGUCUGUGGUCGGACUGAUUGACGAGGACGUUCACCACAGUGGAGAAUUACACAGGGGAUCAAUCCAGUUGUGUGUUGGGCUGCGUGCUGAUGACGGUCUGCCACCCACUCCUGGGCGGGCUGCGCAGUUGGUCUCUCAGCUGCCGGUGCAAAGUGUCCUGACAAGCCUCCCCGCUGCGUGUAGCAACAUAUGGAAGCUCGCAUGUACAUCUAUGCAGACACACAUACACCCUACUCCACCCUGCAAAGCAGACAAAAGCAUUUGACUGAUUAACAUUCUCUUUCACACCCACUUAAGCCCAUAUGUAACUCACAUUUCUGCGUAAAGGACACAUGCUGGCUCUAUAAUGCAUCACAAACCCAUAGGCUGCCUGUAAUAAGACACAGGCCUGCAUAGGAAGAGUUCUGCUUCAAGUGCCAGAAACGGUGCAACACAUGAGAGAAGCUGCCUGCGCGAGACACAUCAUUGACUUAUUAUUUGGUUGUUUCUGAUCAUUCUUUCCCCAGACUGUCAGAUCCAGUUUUCAACGCCACAGCCAAACAAAAAAAAGAAUGGAGCCAGGUUAUGUGACUCAUGGAAAAUUGUACUGGAUUUAAAAUAACUAAAGUAAAUACUCAGUGUGCUUUUAAAUGACUCUGUGAGAGGGCUUGAUAAAUCACAUCAAUAAAUCAGAAGAAAAUUGGUCUUUCAUUUGAAAAACAAAAACCCAGUAAGUACCAGUCAGUUUAAAGUAAUGAAUGUUCGUUUCAUUUGUGUAUUAAACUCUGACCAAUUUAAAUAUGAACUCAAAUCAUAAUCCAAUUUAAAAGCAUUUCACAAUCCUUAAAUGAAUACUUAUAUGUAAUGUAAUGCUUAUAUGAAGCUGUUAUUUUUAAAAGAGACUGUGAUCUAACUUUAGCCUCAGCUCAGUUAUUCAUCUGACAUGAAUGUGAAUGGGCAGCAUGAUGAUAGUUAGCAUGAGCACUGUUGCUUCACAGCAAGAAGGUCCUGGGUUUGAGUCCACCAUCUGGGCCUUUCUGUGUGGAGUUUGCAUGUUCUCCGCUGUGUGGGUUCUCGCAGCGGGGUUUGGUUAAUUCACUCACAAUGAGCGCGUUGCUUUGCGACAGACUGGCGACCUCUCCAGGGUGUAGUGUAACCCCCCCCUCUCACCCUAUGGCAGCUUGGAUAGGCUCCAGCUAACCUGCAACCCUGAAUUGGAUAAGCAGAAAAAAAUGGAUGAGAAAAGAUGCCUUGACCGCUGACAGUUCUGACUGUCUCCCAGUCCAUGCUGUCAGCAGUAUUGGUCUUGUAUUCACUGAAAGCUGUGAGUCCCUGGGCAGGUCAAAUAACAAAUAGAAAUACAUAAAAACACAUCCACAGAAAGCAAAUUAUACUAAUUCAAAUGUAGUAUUUAUUUAUUUGUGUUUAUUCAUUAUAUUGUUGAGAUUUAAGAACUAACGCUCGACUCUUUAAAGUAAAUUUAGUGUUGCAGGCAGCAGCGAAUUAGCUCACUGUAUGAUAGGUUAGCUAGCCCAACUCUUUCCAAAGCAAACAGAAUUAGUCUACGAGCACCUGUAAAAAAAUUAACUGACAUGUUGUAUCAGUAUAUUUUUAAUCCACCUACAAACUGUGUACUGCUCCCCCAGAAAAACCACAACAUUUUCUUUUUAUCGUUUUCAUUUUUGUAAGAAAUAAAAACAAACUUUCCUGUUUCCUGUUAACCAAGCUCGGCAGGUUUCUGUUUAAUAUUUGAGGCAUCACAGCGCCAUCAUAGUGCUAAAUAUUACUUAUACUGGUUAUAAUGAUACUAAAAAUCUUCCACUCAAGCAGUGUGAUGAGGGUGAAAGCUCAGACACAGGAAUGUUUCCAGCUGAAAAAUGACUUUAAGGCAAAAUGCCUUUAUGACAGACAUAUUUUUGCCUAAAAUUCAUCCAAUAAAACACUCACUUUAUUGCAUAGCAAAGCCAAGAAUGGGCUUCUCGAGGCUUCCUAUGUUGGGUUUACAGUCCUGAUAGCAUCUUUGACUGCAACAUUUCAUCUUUAGCCAUGUUUAAUUUGCUCGGUAUGUCUGUGAACCCAAUGUUGUGUACCUCCCAGGCUCGGUGUAUGGUGUGUGUCAAGAUGAAGGAGAUAGAGAGGAAUAGAAAUGCUUAGCGAUAACCCAGAAUAUAUGAUGUGGUAAAGGAACAUUUACACUCUACUUAUCUUUCCUCUCUGUCCAUAUCUCUGACUGCUACUCUCAAACAGACAGCUGAGGAUGAGACUGGAUUUGAGCACGUCAAACAGAAUCGCAUUCUUUCUCUGACUCUCCCGGUUGCUGUCACUUAGUUGUUUUCUCAAACAGAAAACCCUCAAACUCGCACAAACGCACCAAUGAACAUUUGCACAAAGCCUGACUUUCUUCAAAAUCAAAAUGCAUGUAGCUGUUGUACCAACAGAACUUUUGCACGCAUGUGGGUAAACUCCAAGUGUCGCUGAGCAAUGAAACACUGCUUUAACUGCACGGGAACACACACAGUCUUGUCUCCUGACUGUACCAUUAUGCCAACAGCUUCCCUUAAAUUUGUCUGCGGGUCUUUGGUUGUGUGAUGUGUGAACAGCUUUCCCUGACAGCAUCGUCUUCCUCCCAUCGUGACUGCACACACGGGGUUAGUCACACUAAGAGAAAGAGGGGGAGCGCCCACUUUGUGGCUCAUCUCCUGCCCUAAUUUACGGCAGUAGAAAAUUCAUAGUCAUAUUUUAGUAAAUUUAAGCCUUGAGAAAGGGCAUCGAGUUUCUUUCUCCCCCCCAUUUUCCCGUCCCCUCCUUCCUGCUCUCUCCUGUUAAAUAUGCAGAUACAGCAGCAUGAGGCUCCUCGCAGGUUCGUUGCAAGAAUUGGGUCAGCGACGACGUCAUAGCAUUUUAAAGCGAAGCAGAGUUUCUUUACAGAUUCCCAGAGAAGGUCUGGCGCUUAGAGGAAAGGGAGGAAAACUGUCUGUAGCUGAACUGUGAUCUUCAUUCAUGAGAGGUUGAUGUGAUUUGGAAAGCACUGCUCAAUAAAACCCUCAGUAAUAUCAAAGCUAUACUGAUGUUCUGUAUAAAGAAAAUAAACACUGAUAUUUUAACGUU